rnacentral:lncRNA from 1 species
UUGUUUUACCGAAACUAAACUUUCGAUUAAAGUAAAUUUUAUCGCACACCUAAGGCGGUCUUCUCGAGUCUUUAAUACGGACACAUCUCCAAAUUUAAUAGCGAAAUACCAAUUCACGUAUUUUGCCAAGUUUACUUCUUUAUGAGCCUUACAGUCCAGAAUCACGUUUUUAAUCAAACCCCUCAUUAGAUUCCACGAGUUUCCAAUGAGCAAUCCGAAUACUGAGGUUGGCCACCAAGCUAGGCCAUCCCGUCAUCGACUAAUUAAUACGUUAUAAUAUAAUAAAUAAAAAUAAUAUACUUAUAUUUUAUAUAAUUAAAAAAUUUAAUUUAAAAUAACUAAAUUAUUUUUUAUGCAUAAAUUAUAAUAAUAAAGCAAUAUAAAUUAUAAAGUAAAAAAAUAAAUAAAUACUUAACUAAUUAAAUAUAUUUAAAUAUAACUAGUAGUACUCGUAUUAUUUUAUUAUUUUUUAAAUUUUUUUCACCAUAAUUAACCUCGGCCUGGAGUGGGCCAAAGUUAUAAGUUUUGAUUGUAUUUUUAUUAUGGCGAAACAAACAGCGAAACUGAAAAAUUUUUUUCCCCUUUAUAUAUAUAUAUUUUUUACCAAAUUGCCCCAGCACUUUGUGCUUAAUUAUGUAGCCCAAAUUAACCACAAAAAAAACAAAUAAUCUACAUUUUCUACCGUGUCUCAAUUAUUCUUUUUAAAAUAUAAAUUUAUCUUCAUCAAUAUUUUACACUCU